CUACUAGGGGACUACGAGUGCUUAAAACUCAAAGAACUUGGCGGCUUGUUAACUACCUAGGGGAAUAUGCGCCUUAAUCCGAUGGUACCCGUUUCAUCUUACUUGGGCUUGAAAAUGAGCAGUCGGUGUAUUGCCGUUAUCAGCUUGUUGUUGAGCAAAAAGAAACAGGCUUAAUGGUCAUUUGUACCGUGAAUUCAGGUCGAAAUACUGCCUAUGCUCAAGGGAGUGGGUGUUACAAUUAAAUUUAAAAUAACGGAUCUUUGAAACUGAAGGUGAACUUAGGAGUAAGGAGGGAUUAAUAUGUUCUCCUGAACUGAAACUAACUUGUGUACAAACUGCCCGUCGCUCUCGGC
rnacentral:rRNA from 1 species